rnacentral:rRNA from 1 species
UGGGGAAUAUUGCACAAUGGGCGCAAGCCUGAUGCAGCCAUGCCGCGUGUGUGAAGAAGGCCUUCGGGUUGUAAAGCACUUUCAGCGAGGAGGAAGGUGGUGAGCUUAAUACGCUCAUCAAUUGACGUUACUCGCAGAAGAAGCACCGGCUAACUCCGUGCCAGCAGCCGCGGUAAUACGGAGGGUGCAAGCGUUAAUCGGAAUUACUGGGCGUAAAGCGCACGCAGGCGGUUUGUUAAGUCAGAUGUGAAAUCCCCGGGCUCAACCUGGGAACUGCAUUUGAAACUGGCAAGCUAGAGUCUCGUAGAGGGGGGUAGAAUUUCCAGGUGUAGCGGUGAAAUGCGUAGAGAUCUGGAGGAAUACCGGUGGCGAAGGCGGCCCCCCUGGANGAAGACUGACGCUCAGGUGCG